rnacentral:rRNA from 1 species
GAUUCCCCCAGUAGCGGCGAGCGAACGGGGAGGAGCCCAGAGCCUGAAUCAGUGUGUGUGUUAGUGGAAGCGUCUGGAAAGGCGCGCGAUACAGGGUGACAGCCCCGUACACAAAAAUGCACAUAUUGUGAGCUCGAUGAGUAGGGCGGGACACGUGGUAUCCUGUCUGAAUAUGGGGGGACCAUCCUCCAAGGCUAAAUACUCCUGACUGACCGAUAGUGAACCAGUACCGUGAGGGAAAGGCGAAAAGAACCCCGGCGAGGGGAGUGAAAAAGAACCUGAAACCGUGUACGUACAAGCAGUGGGAGCCUCUUAAUGGGGUGACUGCGUACCUUUUGUAUAAUGGGUCAGCGACUUAUAUUCUGUAGCAAGGUUAACCGAAUAGGGGAGCCGAAGGGAAACCGAGUCUUAACUGGGCGUUAAGUUGCAGGGUAUAGACCCGAAACCCGGUGAUCUAGCCAUGGGCAGGUUGAAGGUUGGGUAACACUAACUGGAGGACCGAACCGACUAAUGUUGAAAAAUUAGCGGAUGACUUGUGGCUGGGGGUGAAAGGCCAAUCAAACCGGGAGAUAGCUGGUUCUCCCCGAAAGCUAUUUAGGUAGCGCCUCGUGAAUUCAUCUCCGGGGGUAGAGCACUGUUUCGGCAAGGGGGUCAUCCCGACUUACCAACCCGAUGCAAACUGCGAAUACCGGAGAAUGUUAUCACGGGAGACACACGGCGGGUGCUAACGUCCGUCGUGAAGAGGGAAACAACCCAGACCGCCAGCUAAGGUCCCAAAGUCAUGGUUAAGUGGGAAACGAUGUGGGAAGGCCCAGACAGCCAGGAUGUUGGCUUAGAAGCAGCCAUCAUUUAAAGAAAGCGUAAUAGCUCACUGGUCGAGUCGGCCUGCGCGGAAGAUGUAACGGGGCUAAACCAUGCACCGAAGCUGCGGCAGCGACACUAUGUGUUGUUGGGUAGGGGAGCG